UCCUACGGGACGCAGCAGUGAGGAAUAUUGGUCAAUGGGCGGGAGCCUGAACCAGCCAAGCCGCGUGAGGGAAGAAGGUACAGCGUAUCGUAAACCUCUUUUGUCAGGGAACAAAGGCGGGGACUAGUCCCCGGAUGAGGGUACCUGAAGAAAAAGCAUCGGCUAACUCCGUGCCAGCAGCCGCGGUAAUACGGAGGAUGCGAGCGUUAUCCGGAUUUAUUGGGUUUAAAGGGUGCGCAGGCGGUCUGUUAAGUCAGCGGUCAAAGCCCGGGGCUCAACCCCGGCCCGCCGUUGAAACUGGCAGU
rnacentral:rRNA from 1 species